CAUAUCAUUAAGCGGAGGAAAAGAAACUAACUAGGAUUCCCUCAGUACGGGCGACGGAAGUGGGAAAAGCCCAAAAUGGUAAUCUCCGGUCAUCGGCCGGCGAAUUGUAAUCUGAAGAUUGUUUGCCUAACGGGAUUGGACGCAGAAGUGUUCACGAGAGAACCGCCAAAGAGGGUGAGAGCCCCGUCUGUGGUGUCCAGUCUUACCGGGCAGGCCGUCAAAGAGUCGUGUACUCUGAUACGAGUGCACUAAGCGGGAGAUAAACUUCUUCUAAGGCUAAAUAUAUGUAGGAAACCGAUAGCGAACAAGUACUGUGAAGGAAAGAUGAAAAGCACUUUGAAAAGAGAGUUAAAAGACUUGAAAUCGUUGAGGCGGAAGCGGUAGAAAUGAAUUCUACAGUUGCGAGGAGAGCCCCUGCGAAAUCAUAAGCGGAGGUGUAACUCGUAACGGUGAGGCAAGAUGGAGUCGUACGAUGCCAGAAGCGGUGGGAGUCUGCCUUUCGGGGAACUUCUGUUGGCGGGGUGUCGAACGGCUUGAGGGGCUUUGAGCGAUCUUGUCAAAAUGGUUUUUACCGACCCGUCUUGAAACAGGGACCAAGGAGA
rnacentral:rRNA from 1 species